GUGUGAGAGAAUAUGACACAGAAAGGUUUCAGCUUUUGAAUAACUUCCAGUUCUCUUGGCCAGUGAAUGAAAAGUUAUCGGAGACAACCGUGCAAGAUUUACUAGCUUUGUGGCCUUGGUAGAAGUAAGGUCUUUGGAAGCUCAUUCAAGAUUGUGGCGUGUUCCAUCUGUUUCUAAGAAGAAGAUGCAAAUAAUCAC